rnacentral:rRNA from 1 species
GAAAACGCCUGGCCGGGAUCGUCUGGUAGACGGAGUGGCGAAGCGUUAGCAGGAAGAAUUGGGUUUAAAUGGGCCUUAGGCGGCCUUAUAAGGCAGAGGUGAAAGUUGGUGGCUUAACCAAAAAAUGGCCAUUAAUAAUGUAGGGCUGGAAUACUUAUGAAGUAACUAUAAUAUGUAGUGUAGCGGUGAAAUGCUCAGAUAUUACAUGGAAUACCAAUUGCGAAGGCAGGUUACUAACAAAUGAUUGACGCUGAGGGACGAAAGCGUGGGUAGCGAACAGGAUUAGAUACCCCAGUAGUC